ensembl:rRNA 5S_rRNA 5S ribosomal RNA
UAUGUUAGUCCAUGCCACCCUGAACAAGCCUGAUCCCAUCUGAUCUUGGAAGCUGAGGAGAGUUGGGCCUGGUUAGGAUUUGGAUGGGAGACCACCUAAGCAGAUCAGGUGCUGUAGGCAUAA